rnacentral:rRNA from 1 species
GAUGAACGCUGGCGGCGUGCCUAAUACAUGCAAGUCGAGCGAACGGACGAGAAGCUUGCUUCUCUGAUGUUAGCCGCGGACGGGUGAGUAACACGUGGAUAACCUACCUAUAAGACUGGGAUAACUUCGGGAAACCGGAGCUAAUACCGGAUAAUAUUUUGAACCGCAUGGUUCAAAAGUGAAAGACGGUCUUGCUGUCACUUAUAGAUGGAUCCGCGCUGCAUUAGCUAGUUGGUAAGGUAACGGCUUACCAAGGCAACGAUGCAUAGCCGACCUGAGAGGGUGAUCGGCCACACUGGAGCGGAGACACGGUCCAGACUCCUACGGGAGGCAGCAGUAGGGAAUCUUCCGCAAUGGGCGAAAGCCUGACGGAGCAACGCCGCGUGAGUGAUGAAGGUCUUCGGAUCGUAAAACUCUGUUAUUAGGGAAGAACAUAUGUGUAAGUAACUGUGCACAUCUUGACGGUACCUAAUCAGAAAGCCACGGCUAACUACGUG